CACAAAGGAAGGGCCAGUAAGUCGGGAGCAGGGAGGAGCAGAGGCCUUGGCUCUGCCUACUUCGGGUUGUUGUUUUUAAAAAGGUGAGUCACUUUACCCCCCCAAAAGCAAGGAGAAAUCCACAUGAAAAAUCUAAAACGCUGACAUUUAACUCCUAAACAACAAAAUCUACGCAGUCCAAUCAAAACUGCCACGGACCGUGUAGCUUUCACACAAUAGGAACAGCCCGCAUCACGUCCACGGACACUACUGCAUUUGGGAAACAUUCUCUUCAAAAAAAGGCUCCCCAUUAGAAAGUGUUCGUUACUUGUAUCGAUGCUUUUAAUGAUCUCCCAACAGACCAGACCCCAGGCGAGCUAGCUGUGUGCUCUCGGGGCUGGAGCUGUGGGACCAGACCGCGGCGGCAGCAGGGGGAGAGCUGAGCCGGCGAAGACGGCCCUUAGGCCCGGGCGCACGAGCUGCCGAGCGCGCGAGGACACGCCGGCACUAAGCCACCCACAGAACAUGCGGUUCUUACGCAAACGCGAGUCCGGGGUUGCGAGUGCUGGUGGAGGCCAGGGCCACCAAGACGCAUCCCACAGUGCAGAGGCUAGGCCCCAGGGGACAAUGAUCUGGCCGAAACUGGGCAGCGGCACAACUGCGAGGACCGCAGACUUGGUGCAGGGAGACUCCGGUGGUUUCCCCAUCUCUCCUCCCCUCCCCCCCGGGGGAGCCCUCCAGCCGAGGCCGGUGCCAUUCUGCU